GAGUUUGAUCCUGGCUCAGAGUGAACGCUGGCGGUAGGCCUAACACAUGCAAGUCGAACGCACUCUUCGGAGUGAGUGGCAGACGGGUGAGUAACGCGUGGGAACCUUCCUUGUAGUACGGAAUAACUCCGGGAAACCGGUGCUAAUACCGUAUAAGCCCUCCGGGGGAAAGAUUUAUCGCUACAAGAUGGGCCCGCGUUGGAUUAGCUAGUUGGUAGGGUAAUGGCCUACCAAGGCUACGAUCCAUAGCUGGUCUGAGAGGAUGAUCAGCCACACUGGGACUGAGACACGGCCAGACUCCUACGGGAGCAGCAGUAGGAAUCUUAGGACAAUGGGCAAAGCCUGAUCCAGCCAUGCCG
rnacentral:rRNA from 1 species